GUAGGCAGAACGGGCUCACUGCCAGCGCGCGGCCGCGGGGCUCCGAGGCCCUCCGCCACGCCUUGCAGUGUGGCGAAGCACAGCAGCUGCGGGCCUUGUUGGAGGGGAGGGCGCUCGGGGGCUGGCGUGGCCACCCCCCCAUGGCUGCUGGGCCUUCGGCAUCUCGUAGGUCCCCCAGGCGGCCCUCGGUCAGCAGGCGGCUCCCUGUAAGGCCUCAGCCUCGGCGGGCCACAGUUGACCGCGGGUCCCCCAUCACCUCCUCCAAGGUCUUUCUCUUCCCGGGUCGAGGGUCAGCAGGCCUCUGAGCAGCCGGGCGCACUGGCGCGACACCAGCCUGGGCGGCGAGUAAGCCCCCAGGAGCAUGCUGCGCUGCAUGGCGUGGAAUUCUUCACCUGAGAACGGCAGGGACCCGGCAAGCAUGGCGUGGAGCAGCACGCCGAGGCUCCAGACGUCGGCCGGGGGCCGUCGUAGGGCUGCCGCCGCAUGACCUCCGGCUCCAUGUAGCCGGGGGUGCCACAGAACGUGCUCAGCGGCCCACCGGGUCCAGGCUGCAGAAGCCGAAGUCGGCCAGCUUCGCGCUCCCCGCCGGGUCCAGGAGCACGUUCUCUGGCUUCAGGUCCCGGUGUAUGACGCCCCGGCGGUGGCGGUACUGGAGAGCAGAGACGAGCUGCCGGAACCAGCCUCGCGCCUCCUCCUCCGUCAGGGCGCCGUGCUCCAUCAGGUGGUCCAGCAGGUUGCCUCCGCGCACUAUUCACUGAUGAUGAAUAGUGUCUCCUCACUUUCGAUGACCUGCACCAUCAAGAUAUGGGGGUGAUGCAAUCUCGCCAGACCCUCGGUUUCGCAGAGAAGUCUCUUGGCGGUGGCGGCGCUCUGCUCCUUCUUCGGUGGUGUGGAGAGGAGCUCGAGAAGCUCAUUUCUAACCAGCUGCUGGGAGAACUCCUCCAGAGGCCUCCCUCCUGACGCAUCCUUGCCUGCUCCUUGCCAUCCCUGUCCGGGCUCCCUACUGACACGGCCCCUGGGCACCUGUGUCUCCACCCGGCCCUCUGCCUCCCAGGCCAGCAGGAAACCCUGGGCUUGUCUCCACUCUGCCUGCCUCGGGCCCUGUCUCCACGUGGCUCUCAGUUCCAGGCUCCCUACCCCUGAUGUCAUAUGCGGUUCUCGGGGGUUUUGAGCUGGUUUCCCACCACUUGUGGGGUGAGCUUAUCCCCAGUGGAGAUGCCAAGGUGCUCCACUGCCCUGCGUGGGGAAGUCCACGUCUGUGGCUAUUUGUCCUGCCUGCUCCCACCCUCUACCUCCCCAUCUUAUGCCAACAGUGCCUCUUUUUCCUCAGAAGACCCCCUCCAGCCUUUCCUAGUCCAUGUGGUUUGGGGGAAGUUAACCGUCUAUACACAGGCAUCAAAGAGAAACAUAGGACCUAGAUCCGGCCAGUCAGUGCGUUUCAUACCCUUUGAUCCGUCACCAGGCUGAGGAUGGACAUGCGACCUGGGCCCAGCCAUCCCGUGCUGGGACUUGCAAUGGACUCCUAUGAAUGAGAAGCCCUCUCCCUCUGAGGCGCUGCCAGGGCACCUCACGCAGGCACCUGACAGAAGGGUGAGGCCAACACGGAAAGCAGAGCUAAGGGAGCUCCUGAUGACACAAUCUGAGCCCCGGGUCAGGCCAGGCCUGGCGCUGCCCUGACUUGCAUGGGGAUGGGGCGCCGUGGGGCGGGGACUAAAGCCGUCGAAGCUCAGUGCUAGCUCAGGCGCUGAUGCUCGUGUGUGAUGGUGUGUCAGCACAGACUGAGGAGGGGAGAGGACUCCAGGGAGAGAAGCCCCAAGGGUGUGCACGCACAUACGCGUGUGGGCACACGCACGGCUCAGGCCAGACCAGCGCAGGUCAUGAGGGGCUUGCAGCCAACAGGGGGAGCGCCGGUCCAGUGGAAGAGGGGGGUUACCACGUUGCCGGGAUCCCUGCGUGACGCACAAUCAGCUUUGAAACGACAGUGAAAAUGAGGCACGUUAGGCAGCCGUUAAGAAGCGUGACGGGCGCCUGACUCAGAGCAGCAUUUCAUAUGGGGCAGCGGCCCCGUGGAUCUCUAAACAGCCUCGCCCUGUCUGAAGGUGUCACAUGAGAAUGUGAGCUCCCUGCCGCUAGGCGGCAAGCCACUGCUCAGGGGCAGACCUGCAGUGAAGGAGGGCAGCUGACAUCUGUAGUAGAGGAUGCGUCCCCAUGCGCCAGAGCCAGCAUCCUCGUGCGCCCAGCAGAGCAGGCUCCAGGGGACAGUUGGCUCUGUGAACCCAGGACAAAGCUGGCCCCAACCUCACACACUAACAGCGACCCACGGCAGAGUCCCGUUUACGCCAAGGGUGGCACAUUCAGA
rnacentral:lncRNA from 1 species